rnacentral:rRNA from 1 species
AUUGAACGCUGGCGGCAUGCUUUACACAUGCAAGUCGAACGGCAGCGGGGAGGAGCUUGCUUCUCUGCCGGCGAGUGGCGAACGGGUGAGUAAUACAUCGGAACGUGUCGAGAAGAGGGGGAUAACCACCCGAAAGGGUGGCUAAUACCGCAUAAAUUCUGAGGAAGAAAGCUGGGGACCUAGGAAUAGGCCUAGCGCUUUUUGAGCGGCCGAUGUCGGAUUAGCUAGUUGGUGAGGUAAAGGCUCACCAAGGCGAAGAUCUGUAGCGGGUCUGAGAGGAUGAUCCGCCACACUGGGACUGAGACACGGCCCAGACUCCUGCGGGAGGCAGCAGUGGGGAAUUUUGGACAAUGGGGGCAACCCUGAUCCAGCCAUGCCACGUGUAUGGAGAAGGCCUUAGGGUUGUAAAGUACUUUUGUUAGGGAAGAAAAGUCAGCUGUGAAUAAUAGCUGAUACUGACGGUACCUAAAGAAUAAGCACCGGCUAACUACGUG